rnacentral:rRNA from 1 species
GACGAACGCUGGCGGCGUGCCUAAUACAUGCAAGUAGAACGCUGAAGGAGGAGCUUGCUUCUCUGGAUGAGUUGCGAACGGGUGAGUAACGCGUAGGUAACCUGCCUGGUAGCGGGGGAUAACUAUUGGAAACGAUAGCUAAUACCGCAUAAGAGUAGAUGUCGCAUGACAUUUGCUUAAAAGGUGCAAUUGCAUCACUACCAGAUGGACCUGCGUUGUAUUAGCUAGUUGGUGAGGUAACGGCUCACCAAGGCAACGAUACAUAGCCGACCUGAGAGGGUGAUCGGCCACACUGGGACUGAGACACGGCCCAGACUCCUACGGGAGGCAGCAGUAGGGAAUCUUCGGCAAUGGACGGAAGUCUGACCGAGCAACGCCGCGUGAGUGAAGAAGGGUUUCGGAUCGUAAAGCUCUGUUGUAAGAGAAGAACGAGUGUGAGAGUGGAAAGUUCACACUGUGACGGUAGCUUACCAGAAAGAGACGGCUAACUACGUG